AGUGAACGCUGGCGGCAUGCCUAACACAUGCAAGUCGAACGGCAGGACAGUAAGAGCGUGCUCUUACGGGUGGCGGGGGGCGGACGGGUGAGGAAUAGAUCGCAAUCUUCUUUUUCGUGGGGGAUAACGGAAGGAAAGUGACGCUAAUACCGCAUACGACCUACCGGUGAGAUCAAGGGUGCUUGGCACUUUUGGCGAUUGAAUUAGCCGAUGCCGGAUUAGAUAGUUGACGGGGUAAAGUCCCAGCCAGGCGACGAUACGUAGCUGCUCUGAGAGGAGGAUCACCGACACUGGAACUGAGACACGGUCUAGAGUCCUCCGGGAGGCAGCAGUGGGGAAUAUUGGCCAAUGGGGGCGAGCCUGAUACAGCCAUACGCCGUGGGUGAAGAAAGCCUCCGGGUUGUGAAGACCUUUUGUUGGGGAAGAAAAGAAGUAGGUUAAUACCUCGCUGUUCUGACGGUACCCCAAGAAUAAGGACCGGCUAACUUCGUG
rnacentral:rRNA from 1 species